GUGUGUGGAGGAAUAAGGAAAUCAGAUGUAACCAAGAUGCUCUGCUAUGCGAGGAUCCAUGCACAACUUAUCUUCUAGAGCAAGAGAUCCUGGAACAAAACUGGCUGUGUAAGUAAGAAUGAAACCCAAGAAAGCAACUGAUUCUUGUCACACAAAAAAGUGUGUGUUUGCCUAACAAAAUGAGCCUGGCUAGAAAGAUGCACCUUGGAAUCCAUUCUCAUAUUCCCCACUAUAAUCCCUAUUCUCAGCUAAUACUUGUUCAUUAUUUUAUCAAUUAAACAAAGUAAAACAACAA